GAGGAACACGUGAGAAAUCUGCCUUCAACACUGGGAUAACUCCGGGAAACCGGGGCUAAUACCGGAUAUGAAAUCUGCGGGCAUCCGCGGAUUUGGAAAGUUUUUCGGUUGAAGAUGAUCUCGCGGCCUAUCAGCUUGUUGGUGAGGUAAUGGCUCACCAAGGCGACGACGGGUAGCCGGCCUGAGAGGGCGACCGGCCACACUGGGACUGAGACACGGCCCAGACUCCUACGGGAGGCAGCAGUGGGGAAUAUUGGGCAAUGGAGGAAACUCUGACCCAGCGACGCCGCGUGCGGGAUGAAGGCCUUCGGGUUGUAAACCGCUUUCAGCAGGGAAGAAGCGAAAGUGACGGUACCUGCAGAAGAAGCACCGGCUAACUAUGUGCCAGCAGCCGCGGUAAUACAUAGGGUGCAAGCGUUGUCCGGAAUUAUUGGGCGUAAAGAGCUCGUAGGUGGUUCGUCACGUCGGAUGUGAAACUCUGGGGCUUAACCCCAGACCUGCAUUCGAUACGGGCGAGCUUGAGUAUGGUAGGGGAGUCUGGAAUUCCUGGUGUAGCGGUGGAAUGCGCAGAUAUCAGGAGGAACACCAAUGGCGAAGGCAGGACUCUGGGCCAUUACUGACACUGAGGAGCGAAAGCGUGGGGAGCGAACAGGAUUAGAUACCCUGGUAGUCCACGCCGUA
rnacentral:rRNA from 1 species